rnacentral:lncRNA from 1 species
CAUUUAUCAUAUUUUCAAUUACAAAGCAGCCAAGUAUAAGAAGAAGAAAAAUUGAAAUGUGUUGGCUUGUAUUAUGAAUUUCACUCGAAAAAAGCCAAUUACAAACCAAUCUUACAAAAGUUACAUUCAAUUGAAAAAAAUAAAAAGUUGAAAACAAUGUGGUUACAUUCAGUUUGAUGGGACUAUUAUUCAAGUCAUGUUGAAACCAAUGUAGCUGCUUCUUUCGUCCCAAUUGCCUCCAUAACACAAGAAGACAAUCAAUGAUAUUGAAUUAAUUUAGAGGUCACAAUCGAACAUGUAUAAUAUGUGUUUGUAGUGGAGAAAAAAUUGUAAGUCGCAAUAUAGACAUUAAUCAGAAUAUCUAGUUCAUCUACAAGCCAAAUAUUAGGUCACAUUCGAAGAUUAACAUUAGAAAUGUCACAAAUGUAAACAAAACCUAGUCACAAUACAGACCACACAUGAAAGCAACCCACAAUUGCAGUCACCACAAAACAUCUCAAUUAUUACCUUAACAAGAACAACAAUAGUGUUUUCUUCUGAAGUCAUGUUUUGAUGGCAAAUUUCUGCAAAUUUCGAUUUCUAUGUAGUUCUUGUCUUUUUCAUUUAACAUCUGUAACCUCUUUGAUUUUCGAUAAACUAAAGCUUUGUUGGAGCAAAAUUGUUGUUUUUUAAUGUGAAAAGAAACUUGAAUUGUAACCACUUCUCCCUUUUUUUUUGGGGUUACUAACUUAAUUAGUUAUUCAAUUCUAUUUUACAAGAAAUGACGAUCCUCUUUAAAAUUCCUGAUUUUUCCAAAGUUUUAAAUGGUUGAUUAUCAAACGGUCAACUUAGAAGUUUGUAUACACCAUUUUGUCCCCAAUAAAGGUCAUAAGUCAAAUAGAGGACAUGGAAAGUCCAUAAGGUUUUUAAAGGAUACAAACAUAUGUAAUGAUUUUAAAGGCCCGUAAUGCUUGAAAUUUAGCAGAUGUUUUGGAAAUAUUUUCAAUAAAUUAUAUGUUAUAUUUAUUAUUCAGUUAAAAUUAAACUUUAAUUAAAUUAAACAUUCAAAAUCACUACUCAUUAUUAUCAAUGAAUUUCAUAAUCUCCAUUACUAUUUCUCCUAAAAAGUUCUUCUCUCCUGGGUAGAGGCUUGAUAUCAAUGUAGUUCAAUAAAUUAAAUAUUAUUAAAAGUUGACACAAAACUUAAAUUCUCAUCGAAUAGAAGAUUAGUUAAAUUAUGAUAUUUUGGUCACCAAUCAAUCAAAGCUUUAUUUGGCAAAAUUUAUAAAUCAUUUAUAAAUGACAACUUUACUUUCUAUCACACAUUCCACAAAAGUAUUACCCACUAAUUUACCGAUCAUUUCUAUGUAUUUAUAAAUAAAACAUUUAUAAAGUCU